rnacentral:rRNA from 1 species
AGGGUUUGAUUAUGGCUCAGAACGUACGCUGGCGGCACGCCUAACACAUGCAAGUCGAACGCAGUAGCAAUACUGAGUGGCAAACGGGUGAGUAUAAUGUGGGAAUCUGCCUUUUGGUUCGGAAUAACACGAGGAAACUUGUGCUAAUACCGGAUAAGCCUUUACAGGGAAAGUUUUAAUGCCAAAAGAUGAGCCUGCACUUGAUUAGCUAGUUGGUGAGGUAAUUGCUCACCAAGGCAACGAUCAAUAGCUGUUCUUAGAGGAAGACCAGCCACAUUGGGACUGAGACACGGCCCAAACUCCUACGGGAGGCAGCAGUGGGGAAUCUUGCACAAUGGGGGAAACCCUGAUGCAGCGAUGCCGCGUGAGUGAAGAAGGCCUUUGGGUUGUAAAACUCUUUCGUCGGGGAAGAAAAUGACUGUACCCGAAUAAGAAGGUCCGGCUAACUUCGUGCCAGCAGCCGCGGUAAUUC